UACGUAGGGUCCGAGCGUUGUCCGGAAUUAUUGGGCGUAAAGAGCUCGUAGGCGGUCUGUCGCGUCGGCUGUGAAAACCCGGGGCUCAACUCCGGGCCUGCAGUCGAUACGGGCAGACUAGAGUUCGGUAGGGGAGACUGGAAUUCCUGGUGUAGCGGUGGAAUGCGUAGAGAUCGGGAAGAACAUCAGUGGCGAAGGCGGUCUGCUGGGCCGUUGCUGACGCUGAGGCGCGACAGCGUGGGGAGCAAACAGG
rnacentral:rRNA from 1 species